GAUGAACGCUGGCGGCGUGCCUAAUACAUGCAAGUCGAGCGAACAGACGAGGAGCUUGCUCCUUCGACGUUAGCGGCGGACGGGUGAGUAACACGUAGGUAACCUACCUAUAAGACUGGGAUAACUUCGGGAAACCGGAGCUAAUACCGGAUAAUAUUUCGAACCGCAGGGUUCGAUAGUGAAAGAUGGCUUUGCUAUCACUUAUAGAUGGACCUGCGCCGUAUUAGCUAGUUGGUAAGGUAACGGCUUACCAAGGCAACGAUACGUAGCCGACCUGAGAGGGUGAUCGGCCACACUGGAACUGAGACACGGUCCAGACUCCUACGGGAGGCAGCAGUAGGGAAUCUUCCGCAAUGGGCGAAAGCCUGACGGAGCAACGCCGCGUGAGUGAUGAAGGUCUUCGGAUCGUAAAACUCUGUUAUUAGGGAAGAACAAACGUGUAAGUAACUGUGCACGUCUUGACGGUACCUAAUCAGAAAGCCACGGCUAACUACGUG
rnacentral:rRNA from 1 species